rnacentral:lncRNA from 10 species
GAAAGGAGCUGUUCUCCCGCGUCCCCGGUGCCCCUCCCCUGACAGCACAAGGGAACCCGGAGGGGUUGCAGGACGGUUCCAGGAAUGGCGCCCUUUCUUCAGAACCAUGGUAUCAUACCUUGGAUCCACCACAGUUGGCUGAAACCGGCAGCCCAGGACCAGUGGACCAGCCAGUAGGACCCAGACCAUCUGACCUGGCUGAUCAUGCAAUGAGACCACGUUGCCAGUGGAGAUGACAACAGCCCUAUUCUGGUCACUCCGGAAGCUGACCCGUCUAUGCACGGAAGAAGGUUGAGGAAACAGCAAGCCCUGCUCUAGUCACACUGGGAGCUGACUAGUCUGUGCAUGGCUGAAGCUUGAAGAAUCAUCAUCAGAUGAGCAAAUGUGGCCAGAAGUCUUAGUCCCAGUAAUCUUCUUUGUAUUAUUCAUUAUAUUGCUAUAACCACCAUGAAAUAAAAUAUUUUAUUUUUCAUCCAC